GUGAUCGCCGGCAUCUACCUCCUUGGAGAGAAGCUCAACUGCUGGCAAUGGGGUGACGGGAGGCAGCUGCAGGAGAAGAGGAAGUGAUUGCACAUUUUCCAAGAACCAAGGAGGAAGAAAACACAAGAUUUUUCUCUUCUUUUUUUUUUUUUUUUUCCUUGUGGGGGGAGGUGGUGGAGCAACAUAGAAAGGCAGAAAUGACAGGGAGAAAAUUUUAAGUUUAAUAAGAGAGUUAAGGUAGCUUAAUUGAGGACUCUUGCUUUUUUGAAAGAUUGACUACACACGUCCAAAGCAACUCCUGCCCUCUGAGUAUCGGUUACUUUGUCAGAGCUCCAUGGAUGAUGGUCUCUGGUCAAGAUCCAGCCCAAGAAACUCACAUAAACUUGAUGUUAGAAUGUAUUUAGAGAGAAGGGGAGAGAAGAGGAAUUUGGGAUUAUUCAGACUCUUCACUUUACAGAGGAAGAUGCUGAGGACUUAGAUGAGAAGUUACCUGCAUGAGACCAAAGUGUUAGUGUCAGAGCCAAGACAAUGGCUUUUGUCCCCUGGGUCUCUUAACUCCCAGUCCUGGGCAACUUUUGAAUAAUUUCAACUCUUCUGAAAAUCAAGCAUUUUAGUAAGCUGGUUAUUUUCAUGGUUUGCUCAUCUACUUUUUUUCCCACCCAUAUAGAAAUGUAGGAAGAUGGCUGCUGCUGACAUUGUCUGUCUGCCUGUUAUGAUAGCAAAUUAAUUGGGGCAAUAAGAAAAUAAGAUAAAAAUGAUAUUGGGAAAUCUGUUGCCCUUGGGAACAAACAUCUGGUGCAGAUCUCUUCCAUUGGCUCAUCAACUAAUUCGCUCAUUUGCCAAAUAAAUGUUGUGCAAUUUA